GUAUGCUCAAUUUAAAAAAAAAUGCGGUGCACUAUCUAAACAACUGGCGCUGUGCCGUUACACAAAUUAUACUUCACUGUUAUUACUCUACACGCUCUCACUGCCUGAAAUUAAAAGUGGAAUAUCUCGUGAACGAGUUGACGGAAAUCGAAAAUUUCAACACUAAAAUGUAUUUUAUUUAAUAUUCAAUAUAUUUAUUUGAUACAGGUUUUUAUUUGAAAAAUCAAAGUUGGUAUCGCUACACAAUACUCCUUA